rnacentral:rRNA from 1 species
AUACGGAGGUUGCAAGCGUUACUCGGAAUCACUGGGCGUAAAGCGCGCGCAGGCGGCUUGGUAAGUUGGAUGUGAAAGCCUACGGCUCAACCGUAGAACUGCAUCCAAAACUGUCAAGCUAGAGUGUGGGAGAGGAAGAUGGAAUUAGUUGUGUAGGGGUAAAAUCCGUAGAGAUAACUAGGAAUACCAAAAGCGAAGGCAAUCUUCUGGAACACUACUGACGCUGAGGCGCGAAAGCGUGGGGAGCAAACAGGAUUAGAAACCCUAGUAGUCC